CACACCCUUGACCUGGAUGCUAAUAAAUGCUGCAAAAUGGAGAGCCAAUGAAACUCUGCAUCAUCCGUCCAGAUUAUCAUCCUUUUCAAAUUCACAAUGCUGAAAUUAGUGGUGCUUCGAUUGAUCAGCUACCGAUCACAAUCGGCCGAUAAUCACUUUGUGAUGAUUGAUCGGCGGUCUCUAAAAAGGCUGAUCUCAUAAAACUGAUCUCAAGAUGACGUGGUGCUUGCCGUGAGAGGUUUGGCUCGACACGAAGUGACUCAAGUGAGACGGUGCGGCGUGGGUGAAAUAAUUAUAAUGCUUUAGGGAGUCAGGGGACGUUUCUAAUUCACACAAGGUCAUUCAGUCUAGAAGGGAUCGAUGAUAUGAGAAUAAGCACAUGGACAUCUCGUGCUUUCAGCUGCUAGGAGACCACAGGAUACGGAGAAAGACAAGCAGAACAAACACCGCGGCCAGAGUGAAACUGCUAGCGUACAUGGUGAGGUUGAUGAAGAAGUGGACCACCUUGCACAUGAAGGACCCAAAGACCCAACCCUCCAGAGAGUAGAUGGUUGCUUGGAAAGGCACACAGAAGAUGAUGAAGAAGAAAUCAGCUACGCUGAGGUUGAGAAUGAACAGAUUGGUGGUGUUAUACCCAACCUGCCCACUUCUGAGGAGCACAGCCAGCACCAAACUAUUCCCAAUGGUCCCCAGGAGGAAGAUGAGCGAGAAGACCACAGACACAAUGACACUGGCUGGGUUGAGCUGGUAGCUUUCAGAGGCGUUCCAGUGUCCCAUGGCUUUAUUCAGGUCUUCGUGGUCUGACAUUUUAAGACGUGAAGAGCCCUGCAAAAGGCCAUAAAUUAUUAGACACUGCUGCAUCACUGAGUCACUGGGGACUUUCCUCUCAUGAAGAAUGUGUGGAUUUGAAAUAAAGUGCAUUAAUGAACAUCUCGCAUAUCUUUCCAGAAUCUGAAUCGCAGCAUAAGAUAUAAAAGCUCUUCUGAAAAGCCAUAUUGCUAGACCCGCAUUGAGAGCAAAUAUCAGGAGGAUCUGACCUCAACAUGAACAUGAAAAAAAAAAGUACAUUGUGAUUACAAAAGAUCCUGAGAGCUGCUGCAAGUACAAAGAGGAUUGAAGAAUGAAAUGGAGCCAAGACUAAAAUCAAUUUCAGGAAGCUAUCAUGACCUCUCUAAGGGCAAUGAACCAGUCUUAUCAAGAUAUGAAGAGCAUGUCUCCAUCUGGUUGAGAACUAUUCGAAAUGAAAAUGGACAAAUUCAUUUUGCAUUCAUCAGAGAUCUUAGUGGAGAGUUGUUUGGGGAUAUAAAUACAGAGUCAGUGUGGCAUGAUAUGGGCGACUGAAUAGAGUGCAAUACAUUGGGCUAUGGCAGGAUUAUAUUAGACGUUUUGUUGUUGGUUUAACCUGACAAGUGAAAAGGAAUGCAAUUGCCUACCAGCGGUUAAUCUCACAGUAAUUCCCAAUAGGUGUUGCUCAGAAACAGUCAGCAUUGAUUUCUCCUCUUCAAUUAUUGAUCAGCCUAUAGAAAGAAGAAGAAAAAACACACUUUUUAUCUUUUACGUUAACAAGCACACAGAUUUAAUGAGAUACGUAGUUGUCUGGGGAAUAGAAACAUCUUCCCAUUAAAGAAAUAUUUUAUAGCACUGUAAA